AGAGUUUGAUCAUGGCUCAGGAUUAACGCUAGCGGCAGGCCUAAUACAUGCAAGUCGAACGGCAGCGGGUCCAGCAAUGGAUGCCGGCGAGUGGCGCACGGGUGCGUAACGCGUAUGCAAUCUACCUUUAACUGGAGGAUAGCCCCGAGAAAUCGGGAUUAAUACUCCAUAAUAUUGAGAAGGGGCAUCUCUUUUCAAUUAAAGCUCCGGCGGUUUUAGAUGAGCAUGCGUGACAUUAGCUAGUUGGUGAGGUAACGGCUCACCAAGGCGACGAUGUCUAGGGGUUCUGAGAGGAUUUUCCCCCACACUGGUACUGAGACACGGACCAGACUCCUACGGGAGGCAGCAGUAAGGAAUAUUGGGCAAUGGGCGCAAGCCUGACCCAGCCAUGCCGCGUGAAGGAUGACGGCCCUAUGGGUUGUAAACUUCUUUUGUACGGGAAAAAACCCCCGGUCGUGUACCGGGGCUGAUGGUACCGUAAGAAUAAGCAUCGGCUAACUCCGUGCCAGCAGCCGCGGUAAUACGGAGGAUGCAAGCGUUAUCCGGAUUCAUUGGGUUUAAAGGGUGCGCAGGCGGAAUGAUAAGUCAGUGGUGAAAUCCUACGGCUCAACUGUAGAACUGCCAUUGAUACUGUCAUUCUUGAGUACACUUGAAGUGGGCGGAAUGUGUCAUGUAGCGGUGAAAUGCUUAGAUAUGACACAGAACAUCGAUCGCGAAGGCAGCUCACUAAAUUGUAACUGACGCUCAUGCACGAAAGCGUGGGGAUCAAACAGGAUUAGAUACUCUGGUAGUCCACGCUGUAAACGAUGAUCACUCGAUGUUGGCGAUACACUGUCAGCGUCUAAGCGAAAGCAUUAAGUGAUCUACCUGGGGAGUACGGGCGCAAGGUUGAAACUCAAAGGAAUUG
rnacentral:rRNA from 1 species